AAAGAUUAAACUCAGGGAUGACUGGGUAACAUCCAGGUAAGAAAUUUGUUAUGGUUUAUAUAUAAAUAGAGCAAUUGUGAAAGGAAAUAUUUAUACUAUCUUUAUUCGUGAAUUUUGAGCAUGUGUUGCGGUGUCCCAGGAUUUUCGCCCCCCCCCCACAAUUUCGCCUCCGGGGGGCAAAAUUCCUAGGAAUAUCCCCCGCCCGGGGGGGGGGGGAAUCCUAGGAAUUUCGCCCCCCUUUAGAAACUUCACCUUUUCUUUAGGAUUGUCGUCCUCCGUUCAAAAUUUCGCCCUUCCUAACAGUUGGAUGGGAUAAUUAUUACAUGGCUUUAAUAAUUUGAAAUCAGUA